rnacentral:lncRNA from 1 species
AUAAAUCAGAAGGUAAAAUUAGCAUUCUAAGAAAGUAGGACAUCAAAAGGGAAGCAUUUAUUGUUCCAUUAUGUCUGGAAGAAUUUGAGAAUCCUCAAAAUAUUUGUUCACAAUCUAGGAGAAAAAAACUUACCAGCUUCCAUAGCAUUCCUUGCUGCAGUUCUGAAAUCAUUGACAAUUUGAGGGAUUUCAUCUGUCCUUAAUCGCCUAGGAGGUGAGAACUGAGCAACAUCCACUCCAUUGGCUCGAAUUUGUGGUGUCAAUGACUUGUCUGUAGAAGAGAUUGGAGCUUGUCCAUUUGGCUGAAAACCUGUACGUAUAUAGACAUUGACAAGGGAUAAGAAAUUAGUUGGGCCAAUGUCAUCACAUGAAUAUGGGAAUAAAUAUUAAGCAUAUAAUUCCAUCAUAGAAUCAGAAGAGAAGACAUAAUGGAUGUCUAAGGCAAGAACUGACCGUAGUUUGAAACCCUUCCAACAUGCCAAAUCUGACAAAAGAUAAUUCCACCUUUGGCAUGAACAGCAUCAACAAUGGGUUUCCAGGCCUCAACUUGCUCUUUUGUCCAUAUACCAGGUGUAUGGGCGUACCUUCAUAAAUUAGAAAGAAACAAUUAAAGAAAGUCUCAUUAAAUUAGUUUUUGAGGUAUAAAAAAAUGUAAAAUUUUAACUGUUUAAGUAGUUGCGGUACAUAUGUUAUCUUUUUUAUUUAAAAAAGAAACAGGUUUAAAAAUUACCCUUGAGCCGUGUCAGAAACUCCAGUAGCUUCAGAGAUCAUAAAACCUCCUCUGGAAGUUCUCUGGGAGUAGUAUAGAAUGGCAUGUGGUUGAGGAACAUUAUUGUAAGAUCUUUGUCUUGUCAAAGGUGCCAAUACAACUCUGAGAAAAAAGGAAGAAAAAGAAAGAGGUAAAUGAUAGAGUAAGUUAUUUAUGCAUCAAAAUUUCCCAGGCGAAGAACAAAGUGAUGCACAUAGUCAGCCAAUUACCAUUGGUUUUCCUAAUGAACAACAUUCAAGUUAUGCAAACUUGGAUUUUUCAACUAAUCAACUAGCUAUGGCUUGACAAAGAAAAACAAUAUGCUGACGGGGAUUAUCCAAAAGUUAUACAAAUAUCUACUUGGACGAAAGUAAAAGUUGUGCUAUGAAAAAUGCAGGAAAAUUUAUGCCUUUAUUACCUAUGAGAAAGAUUGAAUUUGCCAAAUUUGUAGGGAGUGAGAAGAGGUUGAGUGGUGAUAUUUUCUUGCUGUUGUUGUUGGGUUUGCUUUUUGCCUUCCAUAUCUGAAACUAACUGAUUUGCUUGCCUUUGGCUUUGGAUAUGUAGUUGAGCAGCAGUGCAGUGCAAAUGGGUAGAAGUUGUUUCUGCUACCAGAAGAAAAGAACUUUGCUUCGCUUUGGUUUUGGUUUGGGAUAUUUGCUGAGUUGAGUUGUGUAGCGAGAAUGGAGUAUAUAUAGCCUUAGGAUGGGCAUCUGAUGACGUGCGAGUGUACGUGAUGAGAAGUGUCAUGUCAUGGUUAUGGCACACCCCUCUUGACCAAAGAAACAGACGCACAGUUUCUUUCCAUGUGCUAAUUCCUGCCCCUUUCUUUUUCUUUGGUAAAUCAUAACAAUUAUUUUGUAAUUUAUAAAAAUUAUAAAAGUUAAAUUCCAACGAAAUAAAUGCUAUAACUUAUAAAAGGGUAUUGGAUGAUUGUAAAAAAUAGAAACUUAAAAAGCAAGAGUAAAAAAAGUUAUGUAUAGAAAAAAUUUAAAUAUGAAGAAAAUUACACAUUUUAUGCAGAGAAAAUCUUUUAUAAUUUCAAAAAUUAAUAAUGGAUAUACCUAGUGCCUAGUCUAGUCUAGAUGAUUAAUUUAGCUACUCGAUGAAUUACAAAAUUAUUUUUUUAUAAUUACAAAAGUUUUUCUGUAAGUGCCAAAGUGAUUCCAAACAUCGUCGUGCAUGAGACAUCAUAUAUUCCUCACUGGAUGGCCGCCGCAGGGCUCCACAAGCCGUCAGCAGCCAAAGAAUGACCCUUGAAUUUAUGCACACUCAGUAACAUAAAAAAGUCAAUUUAUCCCAUAAUUAAUUUGGUCAUCUCAAUAUAUAUAAUAUAAUAUAAUAUAUAUAUAUAUGUAUAUAUAAAGGUUCAAUUUAAUGCAUUCCGACCAUAAAGCGUACUAGAAAAUCUUGGGCCCAUUUUAUCUGCUUUUGAACUUUUGUGUGUGUUUUUUUUAAUUAAUAAAAACGAAAAUGUUUAUAUAUUUCUUUAGUAAAUCUAACAAAAGUGCAAAUAAGAUGAUGGGGACAUAAUCUUCUGGAAAAUGAGUAAAAAAUAAGACUGUUUGUGCAUCCAUUAUUUAUUUAAUUAAAUAAUAAAUAGAUAAAAGUCAUGUUUAGUUUGUUCUAGGGUUCUAUAACUUAUACUUUACUUUUGGAUUCUAAAGUAUUAAUUUCUUGUUUUUUUUUAUUUGUAGAAAAUCAAAAUUUUAUUUUUUUUGUUGGCAUUAAUUAAUAGAAAUUAUUGCAAUAGUAAGCGUGGAUAACCAACUGAAACUCCUGCUAGACCCACCCAGAUCCAAACCAUAUAGAAGCUAAUGCCACAACCAAAGCCCUCAAACCGACCACGCCCCCAGGCAAAACUACCGGCGCAGCGGCAGAGCUGUUCGAUGUAUGGUUGGCAACGGGUGAGGCAGCUGGUGAAGGCAGUGGAUGGACAAGGACAGAAACCUUCAUGCCAUUGAAGCACUGGCCAUUCCCACAAAUGAAGCGGUACCUCUUGGACUCAUUGAGAGGUAUAAAAUCCUUGCCACUGCUCCAGUUUCCUAGUGCUCCUUCUGUUGUGCAGUUGUCAUACCCAGUUUGGUUCACUUCAAACACGUUGUAUUGGUUCUUUUGGUACCUAAAGGCUGGAAGGAAAGACAGAGUUGAUGAUGGUAUUAGACCAAGGACCCUCUGCUUAUGUCAGCCUCAAAAUACAAAGACUAGAUGCAAUAUAAACAUUCACAAAUAAAGGCAGUCAAAUCAGAAAGCAGAUUCAGGACAGAUGGGUACUUUCGUAUUACCCCGAAAUCAAUGUUUUGCACUUCAUACUACCCAUAAUCAUUUAGUAGUGUUUAACUUAGAAAACCCACCGUUUCCUUCAUUUCUCUGAAAGACAAGAAAAUGAAAUGGUACAAAACUACAAAUACAAACGCAGAUGGUUAGAGAGAGAGAGAGAGAGUACAGAUGAGGUCUCCAACAUAGAAGGUGUGGUUGUUGGCCCAAAGGGUGUAGUUGAUGCCAGGGUUCCAGCCUUUGUUAGCACCGACAAUGUGGUCAGUGGCGGUGACAGUGCCAAAGAUUAGAACGAAGCACAACAAGAUAAGCUGAUUUGAGGUCGAAUUCAACAUUCUUUGGCUCACUUGUUGGUGUUUAGCAGUUAGCAGUUUGGUUUGGUUACCCUCUUUUGCUUCGCUCUUCUUUCUGAUUUCUGUUUUUUGGGGGGGGAGAACGAACAAUUAUUGUGAGGGACUCAAAGAUAAUUUUGAGUAAUGUGGGUGAACCGUGGGUCCCCUUCUUACCCGUUGGGUUUGAAUCCAAAUGUGACCAACUUCAUUUUCUCCAAUUUUUUAAUCCCGGAAAAUCAUUUCCAUCACAACAUGGAAUCUUUGCUCCAUUAUUUCAAUCCAAGGUGGAACCCAAAGCUGAAGCACACUUUUAAUUGCCGGUGCCAGGUGGUCCCUCCCAUUCUGGACCUUCAUUCGUGGGCUUCCCUUUUAGGGCCAUUAAGCCCAUCUCCCUCUGAAAGGUAGGCAUUUGACUAUCCAAUCUUCAUAAUGGGUCUCAUGUGAGCGCAAGACUUGUUGUAGGGCCGUAGCCUUUACCCCAAUAUGGAUUUGGUUGGUUUCAAUGUGUAGAGCCUUAUUCUCUAAUUUUUUUAAUUGUUUUUUAUCUCUCUCCAAUUCUUUUUUUUUUUUUUCAUUUAGAUUAGAUUGGACAAAAUUAUGCAAUUUCAAGAACAAUGGUAAUUAAAAGUUUCUACUUUCACUCUAAAUUUUCUUCCAUGAGUUCUUCACCUUUGUAAAUAUGUAUAAAAAUUGUUUAUCUUAUUUUAAUAUGCAACGAGAAAUAUUUUUAUUUCGUAUCAUAACUUUCACUUGUUCACUUAUAAUUUAAAUUUGAGAAUUUUAAAAUAAAAUCUUAAGUUUUACAGUUGAAUGUGUUUUUCCUUGUUAACUUAACUUAAUUGGAAUCAAUUUUCACUGUUUUAGCACGAGGGCGACAAGGUUUUGUCAAGUUUUUUAAAUGGCUUAAACCCUACUACUUAUAAAUAGCAAAGGAGAAGAAAAAGAAAAGGAAAAAGCAAAGAGCAAAGGAAUAAGUGACGGGCAUUGCCAAAUGCCUUUUUUAUUUGACAAAUGAGGUACAAAGCUCAUAAAAGAUGAACGAGUUUGGAUUAAAAUCCAGAAGACUUCAUGAAUCACUUAAAGAAACCCAUAGCCUCUACUAAUUACUUGAUAAUUGGCACUGGGAUUUUACUAGUAAUACCGCAUGUAUUGUGAUACACAUGAUUUUAUCACUAAGAAAAAUGAAAAACAAAAAGAAACAUACAUUCCUGGAAUUCAACUGGACUAAUGAUUGUUAUCUCCUGCUGUGAACUUAAGCAUCGCCAUUGGCUUCAAGAAACGGGUAAUCAGUGUAACCAAUGACUGGAUCUGAGGUGUAGAAAGUUUUUCUGUCAUACUAAUUAAGAGGGGCAUUAAGCUCAAAUAACCUUGGCAAAUCAGGAUUUGCCAAAAACAAUCGACCAUAAGCAACCAGAUCCGCACGGUUUUCGGCUACAGCUUUGUUUCCGUCUUCUUUGGUGUAGCCCCCGGCAGCAAUGAAAGUGCCAUUGAAAGCUUUUCUCAUAGGCAGAAGAGUAUGAGGACAUUCACUUACAUCUCCCAUCAUUUUUAACCUUGGCUCGAUCAUAUGGCAGUAGAGAAUUCCAUAUUUGUUCAAGGCCUCAACCAUGUAGAGAGCUAAUGCUUUUGGAUCAGAGUCUACUGCUUCAAUAAAGUCUGUAAAGGGAGAUAACCUUAUUCCAACUCUAUCUGCACCUAUUUCAUUGGCAACAGCUUCAACUAUCUCUAAGGCAAAUCUGCAACGGUUCUCUAGUGAUCCACCGUAUUCAUCUGUUCGAUCAUUCACUUGAUCAUUCAAAAACUGGUCUAUAAGGUACCCAUUAAAUCCAUGAAUCUCAACCCCAUCAAAACCUAUAUAUUAAUCAGCAAGCAAAAUUAGCAUUCUAAGAAACUAGGACAUCAAAAAGGGAAGCAUUUAUUGUUCCAUUAUGUCUGGAACAAUAUAAGAAUCCUCAAAUAUUUGUCCACAAUCUAGGAGAAAAAAACUUACCAGCUUCCAUAGCAUUCCUUGCUGCAAUUCUGAAAUCAUUGACAAUUUGAGGGAUUUCAUCUGUCCUUAAUCGCCUAGGAGGUGAGAACUGAGCAACAUCCACUCCAUUAGCUCGAAUUUGUGGUGUCAAUGACUUGUCAGUAGAAGAGAUUGGAGCUUGUCCAUUUGGCUGAAAACCUGUACGUAUAUAGACAUUGACAAGGGAUAAGAAAUUAGUUGGGCCAAUGUCAUCACAUGAAUAUGGAAAUAAAUAUUAAGCAUAUAAUUCCAUCAUAGAAUCAGAAGAGAAGACAUAAUGGAUGUCUAAGGCAAGAACUGACCGUAGUUUGAAACCCUUCCAACAUGCCAAAUCUGACAAAAGAUAAUUCCACCUUUGGCAUGAACAGCAUCAACAAUGGGUUUCCAGGCCUCAACUUGCUCUUUUGUCCAUAUACCAGGUGUAUGCGCGUACCUUCAUAAAUUAGGAAGAAAUAAUAAAAGAAAGUCUCAUUAAAUUAGUUUUUGAGGUAUAAAAAAAUGUAAAAUUUCAACUGUUUAAGAAGUUGCGGUACAUAUGUUAUCUUUUUUAUUUAAAAAAGAAACAGGUUUAAAAAUUACCCUUGAGCCGUGUCAGAAACUCCAGUAGCUUCAGAGAUCAUAAAACCUCCUCUGGAAGUUCUCUGGGAGUAGUAUAGAAUGGCAUCUGGUUGAGGAACAUUAUUGUAAGAUCUUUGUCUUGUCAAUGGUGCCAAUACAACUCUGGGAAUAAAAGAAGAAGAAAAAGAAAAGAGGUAAAUGAUUGAGUAAAUUAUUUAUGCAUCAAAAUUUCCCAGGCGAAGAACAAAGUGAUGCACAUAGUCNGCUUCCAUAGCAUUCCUUGCUGCAGUUCUGAAAUCAUUGACAAUUUGAGGGAUUUCAUCUGUCCUUAAUCGCCUAGGAGGUGAGAACUGAGCAACAUCCACUCCAUUAGCUCGAAUUUGUGGUGUCAAUGACUUGUCAGUAGAAGAGAUUGGAGCUUGUCCAUUUGGCUGAAAACCUGUACGUAUAUAGACAUUGACAAGGGAUAAGAAAUUAGUUGGGGCCAAUGUCAUCACAUGAAUAUGGAAAUAAAUAUUAAGCAUAUAAUUCCAUCAUAGAAUCAGAAGAGAAGACAUAAUGGAUGUCUAAGGCAAGAACUGACCGUAGUUUGAAACCCUUCCAACAUGCCAAAUCUGACAAAAGAUAAUUCCACCUUUGGCAUGAACAGCAUCAACAAUGGGUUUCCAGGCCUCAACUUGCUCUUUUGUCCAUAUACCAGGUGUAUGCGCGUACCUUCAUAAAUUAGGAAGAAAUAAUAAAAGAAAGUCUCAUUAAAUUAGUUUUUGAG